AUACAGGGUGACAGCCCCGUACACAAAAAUGCACAUGCUGUGAGCUCGAUGAGUAGGGCGGGACACGUGGUAUCCUGUCUGAAUAUGGGGGGACCAUCCUCCAAGGCUAAAUACUCCUGACUGACCGAUAGUGAACCAGUACCGUGAGGGAAAGGCGAAAAGAACCCCGGCGAGGGGAGUGAAAAAGAACCUGAAACCGUGUACGUACAAGCAGUGGGAGCACAGAGCAAUCUGUGUGACUGCGUACCUUUUGUAUAAUGGGUCAGCGACUUAUAUUCUGUAGCAAGGUUAACCGAAUAGGGGAGCCGAAGGGAAACCGAGUCUUAACUGGGCGUUAAGUUGCAGGGUAUAGACCCGAAACCCGGUGAUCUAGCCAUGGGCAGGUUGAAGGUUGGGUAACACUAACUGGAGGACCGAACCGACUAAUGUUGAAAAAUUAGCGGAUGACUUGUGGCUGGGGGUGAAAGGCCAAUCAAACCGGGAGAUAGCUGGUUCUCCCCGAAAGCUAUUUAGGUAGCGCCUCGUGAAUUCAUCUCCGGGGGUAGAGCACUGUUUCGGCAAGGGGGUCAUCCCGACUUACCAACCCGAUGCAAACUGCGAAUACCGGAGAAUGUUAUCACGGGAGACACACGGCGGGUGCUAACGUCCGUCGUGAAGAGGGAAACAACCCAGACCGCCAGCUAAGGUCCCAAAGUCAUGGUUAAGUGGGAAACGAUGUGGGAAGGCCCAGACAGCCAGGAUGUUGGCUUAGAAGCAGCCAUCAUUUAAAGAAAGCGUAAUAGCUCACUGGUCGAGUCGGCCUGCGCGGAAGAUGUAACGGGGCUAAACCAUGCACCGAAGCUGCGGCAGCGACGCUUAUGCGUUGUUGGGUAGGGGAGCGUUCUGUAAGCCUGUGAAGGUGUACUGUGAGG
rnacentral:rRNA from 1 species